rnacentral:rRNA from 1 species
GACGAACGCUGGCGGCGUGCUUAACACAUGCAAGUCGAACGCUGAAGCUCAGCUUUUGUUGGGUGGAUGAGUGGCGAACGGGUGAGUAACACGUGAGUAACCUGCCUCCUUCUUUGGGAUAACGCCCGGAAACGGGUGCUAAUACUGGAUAUUCACUGGUCUUCGCAUGGGGGUUGGUGGAAAGGGUUUUUCUGGUGGGGGAUGGGCUCGCGGCCUAUCAGCUUGUUGGUGGGGUGAUGGCCUACCAAGGCUUUGACGGGUAGCCGGCCUGAGAGGGUGACCGGUCACAUUGGGACUGAGAUACGGCCCAGACUCCUACGGGAGGCAGCAGUGGGGAAUAUUGCACAAUGGGCGCAAGCCUGAUGCAGCGACGCCGCGUGAGGGAUGGAGGCCUUCGGGUUGUGAACCUCUUUCGCUCAUGGUCAAGCCGCAACAAUGGUUGUGGUGGGGGUAGUGGGUAAAGAAGCGCCGGCUAACUACGU